AGAAAAACGUUGAACAGAAGAUUAAGUCUUGGAUAAACUUUUAAAGAGAGUAUCGGUUGCUGCAAAGAUACAGUCUCCAAGUCUGAAACACAUCUGCGAGUUGGGUUCCUCAACUAGUUUACUAGGGAAUCCCGGGAUAAGCCCGUUAUAGCUGCAGUUUAAUAAACUCGUUGAGAUUGAAUUCGUGAGAAUUUGAUAAAGCUUGAGGUGGAACCGCGACUUUUUGUUGCCCUCUAU
rnacentral:ncRNA from 1 species